UGGGGAAUUUUGGACAAUGGGCGAAAGCCUGAUCCAGCAAUGCCGCGUGUGUGAAGAAGGCCUUCGGGUUGUAAAGCACUUUUGUCCGGAAAGAAAUCCUUGGCUCUAAUACAGUCGGGGGAUGACGGUACCGGAAGAAUAAGCACCGGCUAACUACGUGCCAGCAGCCGCGGUAAUACGUAGGGUGCAAGCGUUAAUCGGAAUUACUGGGCGUAAAGCGUGCGCAGGCGGUUUGCUAAGACCGAUGUGAAAUCCCCGGGCUCAACCUGGGAACUGCAUUGGUGACUGGCAGGCUAGAGUAUGGCAGAGGGGGGUAGAAUUCCACGCGUAGCAGUGAAAUGCGUAGAGAUGUGGAGGAAUACCGAUGGCGAAGGCAGCCCCCUGGGCCAAUACUGACGCUCAUGCACGAAAGCGUGGGGAGCAAACAGGAUUAGAUACCCUGGUAGUCCGCGCCCUAAACGAUGUCAACUAGUUGUUGGGGAUUCAUUUCCUUAGUAACGUAGCUAACGCGUGAAGUUGACCGCCUGGGGAGUACGGUCGCAAGAUUAAAACUCAAAUGAAUUGAC
rnacentral:rRNA from 1 species